rnacentral:rRNA from 1 species
GACGAACGCUGGCGGUGUGCUUAACACAUGCAGGUCGAACGGUAAGGCCCUUUCGGGGGUACACGAGUGGCGAACGGGUGAGUAACACGUGAGUAACCUGCCCUCAUCUCUGGGAUAACAGUCGGAAACGGUUGCUAAUACUGGAUAUGAGCCUGCAAGGCAUCUUGUGGGUUGGAAAGAUUUUUUGGUUGGGGAUGGACUCGCGGCCUAUCAGCUUGUUGGUGAGGUAGUGGCUCACCAAGGCUUCGACGGGUAGCCGGCCUGAGAGGGCGACCGGCCACAUUGGGACUGAGAUACGGCCCAAACUCCUACGGGAGGCAGCAGUGGGGAAUAUUGCACAAUGGACGGAAGUCUGAUGCAGCAACGCCGCGUGCGGGAUGACGGCCUUCGGGUUGUAAACCGCUUUCAAUUGUGACGAAGCUUUUUGUGACGGUAGCAGUAGAAGAAGCACCGGCUAACUACGUG